AACGAACGCUGGCGGCAUGCCUAACACAUGCAAGUCGAACGAAGGCUUCGGCCUUAGUGGCGCACGGGUGCGUAACGCGUGGGAAUCUGCCCUUUGCUUCGGAAUAACAGUUAGAAAUGACUGCUAACACCGGAUGAUGUCGCAAGACCAAAGAUUUAUCGGCACAGGAUGAGCCCGCGUAGGAUUAGCUAGUUGGUGGGGUAAAGGCCUACCAAGGCGACGAUCCUUAGCUGGUCUGAGAGGAUGAUCAGCCACACUGGGACUGAGACACGGCCCAGACUCCUACGGGAAGCAGCAGUAGGGAAUAUUCGACAAUAGGCGAAAGCCUGAUCCAGCAAUGCCGCGUGAGUGAUGAAGGCCUUAGGGUUGUAAAGCUCUUUUACCCGGGAUGAUAAUGACAGUACCGGGAGAAUAAGCUCCGGCUAACUCCGUG
rnacentral:rRNA from 1 species